GCACGCGUAGCUCAGCUGGAUAGAGCACUGGUCUUCGGAACCAGGGGUCGUGGGUUCGAAUCCCCCCGCGUGCACCA
rnacentral:tRNA from 1 species